CUCAGUGCUGGCCUCAGGAUCCCGUUGCCAAUAAUGAAGUGAAGUUUCUCCAGGUUGGAUGUUGGCCGGUCCUCCAGCAUGCUGUUGCCGUGGAGACUGUACUCACCAUCGUUAAGGCGCUUGUGAUCUUGGACUUCUUCUUCAGGGUGAGGGACACCAGUUUGUGUCGGACACUGUUCUUCUUGUGGCUGUCAGAGUGCGGCGUCUGCAGACAGGACAAGACAGGAAACAGCUCAUAGACCAAUCAGAGAUGCUCCCGCUCACAGCAUGCACGAUACAUAACAACUGCCAAUAAUAGAAGGAAACUUUAUAAAUCAUAUCUCUCCAACCUGUCCCUUUCCUUACCUCCCCCUCCCCCUGCAGUGCCUGCAGCUCUCUCUUGUAGGUCUUCUUUCCCAGUGUCUCAUAGAUUUUGGUCAUGACAGGGAUCUUCUCGCUUCCGUCGCUGAUGGCCGUGUGGUACUUGGGCUCCGGCAGAUCUCCCAUGAACCUCAGCACUGUGAUCCACACCGCCAGGGCAGCCUGGUCCAGGACAAUCAAUGAAAAAAGACUUUUAAUGCCGACUUUCCAGCCAAACAUGAGCAACUUUCAGAGAAGCAGUAAAAAUCUUUGUGGAGUCAGAGGUCAAAGGUAAGCUACCAGCUGGUCUCCCUCGUCGUCGUGGAACAGCAGAGGCUGUUUGAGAGGCCGUCGGACGUAUGUGUGCGUUGUGGUGCCCUGGAAAUAGGUGGCGGCAAACUUAGCGAACUUAUACUCUGAUAAAUCCUCCUCUUCAUCGUCCUCAGGCAGAGGAAGAGCCUCGUCCAGAUCCUCCUCCAUCAGCUCCUGAUGGGUCCGCUCCAGGUCCUGCAGAGGAGGCCGGGACAACCAAUUUCACACUUAUAUAUAUAUAUUUUUUUUAAAUAAUUUUUAGAUCACUGAAGACCUCUAUAGGGGGUUUGUGGUUUUUGAGUAUUUAGUGGAGAAAGGAGAAAAUAGUGGAUUUUAUCUCAUACAACUUUUGUCAGCUCACCUCAAAGCCGGCGGGGGCUUGUCCUUCCUGGCCCGGGAAAGAGGCCGUCGUCCCCAGGAAGCCAAACAUCUUGUCCACCAUGUCGGAGUCGUUGACGGGCUCCAAACGGGCCUUCUCCAUCUGCUCCACCAUCUCCUUCUUCCUCCGAGCCUCCUCCUUCUCCUUCUUCUCCCGCUCGGCAUCCUCUUUGGCCAGCUGGGCCAGACGCUCCUGGAAGAGAAAAAUAUCACAUUCGCUUUGAAACACUGGUGUAAUGAUGAACUAAUAUAUAAUAUGAAAUAAUAGAGACUUGUUCCACACUGCCACCUCUUUGGGUUCCCUAAUGAAAAUACAGAUAUGCUGUUUGAUACCUACCCUGGAUUCUUGUAAACGUAAGAGGAAUAUUCUCUAAAAGAAACUCAAGAUCUUCCUAACUUAAAUAAGACAUUACAUCAUGCAUUCAUUUAUAGAUGAUACAUGUACUGAGGUUUUAAAUACACCUUUUAAUCCCACCUGGUGUUUGCGCUCAGCCUCGGCUUUCGCUUUCUUCGCAGACAUCUGAUUCCUCAGUUUGGUCUCUUCUGCCAGCCGCAUCUUCUCCGCCUCCAGCCGCCGGUUGUACUGAAGGGGGAGAGGAAGGAGUCCAACACCCGGUUACCAAAACACACACCUCUUGUACAGCCGGCGGGCGAUCAUGCCUCUGGUGUAGGCCUGGAUGGUGAUGACGGCCCACAGCCGGUGUCUGAACGCCCGGCGUACCAAGAAGCCCCGACAGCGACCCUGGAAGCCAGUGAUUCGCUGACGGGCCACGUGAUAAGACGCACACAACUUCCUGGAACGAACCAGAGCCUGGAGGCGAGAGAAGCCUGCUCGCAUCUGAAAGGAGAAGAAGAAGAAGAAGAAGAAGAAGAAGGAUUUGUUUUGAAUUUGUUGUGUAUGUGUGUGAUGUGGGGGUAAAAACAGAGAUGCUCCUCACAGCUCCAUAGUUCUUCCUGCAUUGAUAUCCUCUCCACGUCUUCUGGAUAAACACAGCCGACUUCCUCAUCUUCAGGAAGUUAGAUCUGAUGACAGGAAAUAAAAAGUCAGAAAUUA